GGUCAGGAGGAGGGUCAGGAGGAGGUUCAGGAGGAGGGUCAGGAGGAGGUUCAGGAGGAGGGUCAGGAGGCUGUUCAGGAGGUUCAGGAGGAUGGUCAGGAGGAGGGUCAGGAGGAGGUUCAGGAGGUUGCUCAGGAGGGUCAGGAGGAGGGUCAGGAGGAGGUUCAGGAGGUUGCUCAGGAGGGUCAGGAGGAGGUUCAGGAGGUCGUUCAGGAGGAGGUUCAGGAGGUUCAGGAGGAGGUUCAGGAGGUUGCUCAGGAGGGUCAGGAGGAGGGUCAGGAGGUCGCUCACCGAUGCUGAUGAGGUCCAUGUGCAGCAGGACCUCCUGGUAGAGUCUCAGGAUCCC